rnacentral:lncRNA from 1 species
GUCCGUGCAGUUAGACUGCCCUCAACCGUGGUUAGUCUCGUCUUUCGAGGGGAUAACAGGCAGCAGAGUGUGAGCUGAAGCACCUUUUUUGGAGCACCUUGACCAAAAUAGCAUGAAGAAUGAGAAAGCUCUUCCUCUAAAGUUUGUAAUGCAUUUAAAUGUCUCUGCCUUUGCUGAGAUCAAGCAGACAUUCUAAACUGGGUAAACAAGAAAAAUAUGAAUUGUCAAUGAAUCAAGUUGGAGACAUUUCAAGCAAAUCUCUGAGAGAAUCAAUAUUAUGUCAAGGUUUAUUCCAUAUCUUCAUUAAUGAUCCAGAAAUACAGCGAGCAUCAGAGAAGACUGACAUAUAAAACAAAGGCAUUGAGAAGGUGUGAUUAACAUUUAAACACAAUAGUUGUUGCCAUAAGAAWUAUGUCAAGUUGCUGGAUGAUCCUCACCAGUUUUUCUGAUAGAGCUCUUCCUUAUGGAGCAAAAGAUGCUGGAGCACUUCAUUUCCUUGAGAAGAACUGCUGUGCCCGGAAACCCAAACAACGAGGCUGCGCCACAGAAACUGUCUCAUG